UCUGGUUGAUCCUGCCAGAUCUGACUGCUAUCCGGGUGGGACUAAGCCAUGCGAGUCGAAUGAAAGCACUUGUUUUCAUGGCGCACUGCUCAGUAACAAGUGAUCAACUUGCCCUUCAGAGGGACAUAACCUCGGAAAACUGAGGAUAAUUUCCCAUAGUUGAAAAUGCCUGGAAGGUUUUUCAUUGAAACGGGGUACGAAUUGGAGUACUUCCGCUGAAGGAUAGGAUUGCUCCCGAUUAUGGUUGUUGGCGAGGUAAUGGCUCACCAAGCCUAUGAUCGGUAAGGGCCGUGAGAGCGGUAGCCCUGAGAUGGAUACUGAGACAAGGAUCCAGGUCUUACGAGGUGCAGCAGGCGCGAAACCUUUACAAUGCGCGCAAGCGUGAUAAGGUUACCCGGAGUGCCGGUGGUACAAACUACCGGCUGUUACAGAGCAUAAAUCACUCUGUGAGGAAGGAGAGGGCAAGGCUGGUGCCAGCCGCCGCGGUAAAACCAGCUCUUCAAGUGGUCAGGAGAAUUAUUGGGCUUAAAGUGUCCGUAGCCGGUUUAGUAAGUUCCUGGUUAAAUCUGGUAGCUUAACUAUCAGUCUGCUAGGAAAACUGCUUUACUAGGGGGUGGGAAAGGUCCGAGGUACUCCAGGGGUAGCGGUGAAAUGUGAUAAUCCUUGGGGGACCACCAGUGGCGAAAGCGUCGAACUGGAACACGCCCGACGGUGAGGGACGAAAGCUAGGGGAGCGAACGGGAUCAGAUACCCCGGUAGUCCUAGCUGUAAACGAUGCGUGCUAGGUGUUGGAAGGGCUAAGAGCCGUUUCAGUGCCGUAGGGAAACUGUUAAGCACGCCGCCUGGGAAGUACGCUCGCAAGAGUGAAACUUAAAGGAAUUGGCGGGGGAGCACCACAAGGGGUGAAGCCUGCGGUUCAAUUGGACUCAACGCCGGGAAACUUACCGGGGGCGACAGCAGAAUGAAGGUCAGGCUGACGACCUUACCAGACAAGCUGAGCGGAGGUGCAUGGCCGUCGCCAGUUCGUGCCGUGAGGUAGCCUGUUAAGUCAGGCAACGAACGAGACCCACACAUUUAGUUGCCAGCGACAGCCUUCGGGUUGGUCGGGAACGCUAAACGGACUGCCAUCGUACAGAUGGAGGAAGGGGUGGGCCACGGCAGGUCAGUAUGCCCCUAAACCCCCGGGCCACACGCGGGCUGCAAUGGUAUGGACAACGGGUUGCAACUCUGAAAAGAGGAGCCAAUCUCUAAACCAUAUCUCAGUUGGAAUUGUCGGCUGUAACCCGCCGACAUGAACGUGGAAUCCCUAGUAAUCGUGUGUCAUCAUCGCACGGUGAAUACGUCUCUGCUCCUUGCACACACCGCCCGUCGCUCCACCCGAGUGUUAUACAAUUGAAAAAUGGUCAUUUGGUCAUUUUGAAAUUGCAUAAUGCAAGCGGGGAGAAGUCGUAACAAGGUA
rnacentral:rRNA from 1 species